GUUAAGAGGGGUAGUAUGUAGUGACCCGCUCUUUUAUAUAUUUUAAAUCCAGUAAUGAGUGUUUAUUUUUGUUCAUCAGUGAAUGAAAACGGUUUUUAUCCUAAUAUGAAUUCAGCUUAUGAUCCUGAAUUUAUAUUGUUAAAGCAGUUAAUGAUAUUAUUUCAGAGUUAUAACUGACUUAGCAAAGUCACGUUAUUUAUUUAAGCGAGAUGAAAUUUGAUUUUAUUUUUACUCAGAUCGUGAAUUAUUUCCGACUCAGGAAGUUAAUUAAAUCUGCGGAUUUAAUUUAGAUAUCAGAACAACGAACGAAUUAAAUCUACGGAUUUAAUUUAGAUUCAUUUUAUAAUUUAUCGGUUUUAGUGAGAAAUCACAUGUCGAAAUACGAGAUUUAUUUAAAUAAACAGUAUCAAGCAUAUACGAGCACACGAUCCAUCUUACAGUUACAGAAUCACCGAGACAGAGAAAAUACAUCAAUAAUUCUCCUCUACAUUUUUUUUUCCUUUCUUUUUCUUCUCUUUUUCUUUCCAUUAAUUUUGUUCCCCACUUCUUGCCUACCACUAUACUUUGCCAAUCCUCUAUUAAUCAUCACCCCACCAUCUUGUUGUUCCACCUGCAAUUAUCGAAGGAAGACUUCAAUUAUUGCUGCCAAAUCCUUAAGCCAUUCCAGUUCAUAUAACUCAAGCAACAACCAAGCAGUUGAAAACAAGUGAGGUCAAGCACGAGAUUAAUAAUCAGUCAAGGAGCUACUGUACCACAAAAAGUUUCUAACAGGUUGAGCAGCUGCCGAUGGUGAUGAAGUGACGAGCGGGAUUCUUUUAUCUUAUUAUAUAGUAAUGAACUCUAGGGUUACAUGUCUUCAUACAUGUAAUCAGAAUCAUAUUCCGCUGCGUACUCAGAAGUUUUAUGUUUAUUUGGCUAAGUCAGAGAUAUCUGAACUUACUAGUUAUUUGAGUCUAUAUGACUAAACUUCUGUUAUAUAAUAAAUAUCCAUGUUGUUAAAAAUGAUGAAAUGCGAUCC